rnacentral:rRNA from 1 species
GGCGAACGGGUGAGUAACGCGUGAGGAACCUGCCUCAAAGAGGGGGGACAACAGUUGGAAAACGACUGCUAAUACCGCAUAAGCCCACGGGGUCGGGCAUCGACCAGAGGGGAAAAAGGGAAGCAAUCCGCUUUGAGAUGGCCUCGCGUCCGAUUAGCUAGUUGGUGAGGUAAUGGCCCACCAAGGCGACGAUCGGUAGCCGGACUGAGAGGUUGAACGGCCACAUUGGGACUGAGACACGGCCCAGACUCCUACGGGAGGCAGCAUG